GGCGGACGGGUGAGUAAUGCCUAGGAAUCUGCCUGGUAGUGGGGGACAACGUUUCGAAAGGAACGCUAAUACCGCAUACGUCCUACGGGAGAAAGCAGGGGACCUUCGGGCCUUGCGCUAUCAGAUGAGCCUAGGUCGGAUUAGCUAGUUGGUGAGGUAAUGGCUCACCAAGGCGACGAUCCGUAACUGGUCUGAGAGGAUGAUCAGUCACACUGGAACUGAGACACGGUCCAGACUCCUACGGGAGGCAGCAGUGGGGAAUAUUGGACAAUGGGCGAAAGCCUGAUCCAGCCAUGCCGCGUGUGUGAAGAAGGUCUUCGGAUUGUAAAGCACUUUAAGUUGGGAGGAAGGGUUGUAGAUUAAUACUCUGCAAUUUUGACGUUACCGACAGAAUAAGCACCGGCUAACUCUGUGCCAGCAGCCGCGGUAAUACAGAGGGUGCAAGCGUUAAUCGGAAUUACUGGGCGUAAAGCGCGCGUAGGUGGUUUGUUAAGUUGGAUGUGAAAUCCCCGGGCUCAACCUGGGAACUGCAUCCAAAACUGGCAAGCUAGAGUAUGGUAGAGGGUGGUGGAAUUUCCUGUGUAGCGGUGAAAUGCGUAGAUAUAGGAAGGAACACCAGUGGCGAAGGCGACCACCUGGACUGAUACUGACACUGAGGUGCGAAAGCGUGGGGAGC
rnacentral:rRNA from 1 species